rnacentral:rRNA from 1 species
GAUGAACGCUGGCUACAGGCUUAACACAUGCAAGUCGAGGGGAAACGACGGGGAAGCUUGCUUCCCCGGGCGUCGACCGGCGCACGGGUGAGUAACGCGUAUCCAACCUGCCUCUGACUGAGGGAUAACCCGUCGAAAGUCGGCCUAAUACCUCAUGGUAUCUUCUUCGGGCAUCCAACGACGAUUAAAGAUUUCAUCGGUCAGGGAUGGGGAUGCGUCUGAUUAGCUUGUUGGCGGGGUAACGGCCCACCAAGGCUACGAUCAGUAGGGGUUCUGAGAGGAAGGUCCCCCACAUUGGAACUGAGACAAGGUCCAAACUCCUACGGGAGGCAGCAGUGAGGAAUAUUGGUCAAUGGGCGAGAGCCUGAACCAGCCAAGUGGCGUGCAGGAAGACGGCCCUAUGGGUUGUAAACUGCUUUUAUGCGGGGAUAAAGUGAGGGACGUGUCCCUCAUUGCAGGUACCGCAUGAAUAAGGACCGGCUAAUUCCGUG